AUGAACGCUGGCGGCGUGCCUAAUACAUGCAAGUCGAGCGAACAGACGAGGAGCUUGCUCCUCUGACGUUAGCGGCGGACGGGUGAGUAACACGUGGAUAACCUACCUAUAAGACUGGGAUAACUUCGGGAAACCGGAGCUAAUACCGGAUAAUAUAUUGAACCUCAUGGUUCAAUAGUGAAAGACGGUUUUGCUGUCACUUAUAGAUGGAUCCGCGCCGCAUUAGCUAGUUGGUAAGGUAACGGCUUACCAAGGCAACGAUGCGUAGCCGACCUGAGAGGGUGAUCGGCCACACUGGAACUGAGACACGGUCCAGACUCCUACGGGAGGCAGCAGUAGGGAAUCUUCCGCAAUGGGCGAAAGCCUGACGGAGCAACGCCGCGUGAGUGAUGAAGGUCUUCGGAUCGUAAAACUCUGUUAUUAGGGAAGAACAAAUGUGUAAGUAACUAUGCACGUCUUGACGGUACCUAAUCAGAAAGACACGGCUAACUACGUG
rnacentral:rRNA from 1 species